UAUUUUACUACUUACUGGCAAAGUAAUUCUUGCUACAUUACCUAUUUUAAAACUCACAUCUCAUUCAAUUAAGAUUUCAUACCAUUGACAAAAUGAUGCUGUUCUGAAAAAAAAUAUUGCAAUAGCUGCUAUAUACAAGCCCAUAAAUAACCUGCAAGAUUUUCAGGCUUCAAAAGACUGUGGGCAGGAAGAGAUUGUUUAAAGAUUCAUUUGAACAUUUCUUAUUCAGUACAUUUGCUGCAUUCAGUAACAACAAAAAUACAUUGAAUCAAACAAAAGGAGUGGACUUAGAUGGCAAUGGAACACAUUUGUGCUUUUGGGGUUUUUUUACUUGUUUAUCAAAACCACAAGAAACACCAUCCCCAACCCCAACUGCACAGUAUUACAAAUGCAGUGUUCCACCUCCUUAACCUCCUGUGCCAUAAACAAGAUAAACUGCUUCAUCAUAACGUUCAAAAGUUAAAGCACGGGAUGCAGGUUAUCCACACUGGAUCUCAGUAGAUACAGGAUAAUAAAUGCUCCCUCAGUAUAUAAUACAUCUAAGUCACAUUCAAAAGUACAAAACCAAAAACAUUUUCAUGCUCUUCUUAUUUUCAGUGAACAGUUUUUAAGUAUGCUAUGCCUGGAUGAAAAACAGAUUUAGCCCUUUAGAGUACUGUCAUUUUGUGCUGUCAUUUGUAUGUUGCAAUUGUCAUUUGUUGUGGGUUUUUUUUCAAGUGGACCUUGAUUAGUGACAUAGGGGACCAAUAUAUAUAUCAGCACAGGAGGAAAUGCAGGCAAUGAAAAUUUUGUAGAGGGGAAUAUUGUUUCAAAUUUAGAAUUUGUUUAAAAAAAGCUUUUAUGUCCUCUGGUUCAUUCAGACCUGUUUGUGCUAUAAUACAAAGAUUAGAAGAGAAAUGAUCAAAGAGGGUUUCAAUCUAUAUCCAUGGUCACAGUGUAAAAAAACACAAAACCAAACAACAAAACCCAAACCCCAAAAUAAAACACACAAAACCCCACAUGCUCCAAUAUAAAAAAUAUGCUUAAAUAUGUUGUCUGCACACAAUACAAACACUGACUCUGUUAUCACAGUACUGUUCUGUUGCAGUCUCCUCCAUACAUUCCGAGAGCUCCUUCUACUUUGUCUUUUUGGGGAAAAAAUAAUCAUUCUCAGGCCAAGAACAGCCAUAUAUUUGCACAGCUGUGGGACAGUCCAAUGCAGAAGAGGUGAAGAAAAAGCCAUGCACAAAAGCCAAAGUAAAGAUAUAGCCAUUUACAUACUUAGCCUUUUAGAGUUAGCUGUCAACAGGUUGAGCAAUAGGAAACAUGACAAGCCUUUAUGUUUCAUGCAUGUAUAUGUGUGGUAUACAGUACGUCACAUUCUGUUGCAGCUGCAUAAAUCCAGCAUAGAUCUGGUGAAACUAAGGUAAUUUCUGUAGACUGUUUAAAGUUAUAGCCACAGCCAGAUUUUGGUGGACUGUGAGGUUUCAGUUUGGUGACCAUACCAACAAGUCUUGGCCAGGAAGAGGAAAAGGCAGAAAAUAUCACUUUUUUCUUAGUGUAGGAAGGAAACGUGGAGAAAACUUGGUCUGAUCAACAAUGAAAUGCAUUGAUGUUUUCUAACUUUCAACUCCAUGUCUUUUGGAUGAAACACAUCCCUAAAUUGAGUUCUAAUUGAUAAAUGUUUCCUGUUCCCUAAAGAUCGAUUUACUUUUAUUUUCUUCUUUACAAAUUUACUAUCCAAUAAACAAUUUCCACCCUGCACAUUAGUGUGCAAAUACCUUUCCUCUUGGAAAUCAAUAGCAGAUAUCUUGCUAGAUUCACUGGGACCAGAAAUGGUCUGAGCUGCUGAAGGUACAAACAUUUAAUUAAGAAAAAAAAAUCAACACAAAACCUCUUAGGCAAAUCUUCAACCUCUUUUUUUGCUAUUGCCCUCCCUUUGUACUAUUCUGAUAGCCCAGUGUAUUAGUAAAGCCAAUUACCUUGGUGAUUCCUGCAAACCAGUCUGUUAGGGAGACAGCUACUGCAAACAAGGAAGAGCUGGGGCUAAGGAGAGGUGGCUGCAAAGCCACUCUGUGAAGGGGACUCAUCUCUGGAAAUUGCUCUGGAUCCCCCUGCUGCUGAGUAAAUUCUAGAGCACGACAUGUAUUUAGGGGCUCUGACCAUCUCCAAGGCUUACAGUCUGCUUUAUCUCCAUCUGGAAAGGUGCACUGUUGGUGCUCCAAACACCACCUCUGAGAACCUAGAAAACACCGGCCAAAAGAAAAAGUACAGUGGUUUUUUUUUUCUCCUUUAAAGAUACUUCAUAGCAGUAUUAAAGCAGAAGCUAUUAAGUGCUGAGCAGAGUUUAAAAACACAAAAGACUCUGCAGAGACCUAUUUAAAAGAUGUCUGUAGGUAGCAAUACAUAGACUUAUUUGUAGCCUGGCUGUAUUCACAGUAUAUCAUUGUGUUACAUUUUUAUGGUUGGAAUUCAGUGUCUCGAUUUGACC
ensembl:lncRNA